rnacentral:rRNA from 1 species
AUCCAGAGAACUUUCCAGAGAUGGAUUGGUGCCUUCGGGAACUCUGAGACAGGUGCUGCAUGGCUGUCGUCAGCUCGUGUUGUGAAAUGUUGGGUUAAGUCCCGCAACGAGCGCAACCCUUAUCCUUUGUUGCCAGCGGUUAGGCCGGGAACUCAAAGGAGACUGCCAGUGAUAAACUGGAGGAAGGUGGGGAUGACGUCAAGUCAUCAUGGCCCUUACGAGUAGGGCUACACACGUGCUACAAUGGCGCAUACAAAGAGAAGCGACCUCGCGAGAGCAAGCGGACCUCAUAAAGUGCGUCGUAGUCCGGAUUGGAGUCUGCAACUCGACUCCAUGAAGUCGGAAUCGCUAGUAAUCGUGGAUCAGAAUGCCACGGUGAAUACGUUCCCGGGCCUUGUACACACCGCCCGUCACACCAUGGGAGUGGGUUGCAAAAGAAGUAGGUAGCUUAACCUUCGGGAGGGCGUUUACCACUUUGUGAUUCAUGACUGGGGUGAAGUCGUAACAAGGUAAGCGUAGUGCU